UCUCAAUCCCAGGUGAGUUCUCGGUAGCCUCUGUCUCUCUUUCCCCCUCAAUAACUUCUCCUUGUGAUUUGCUAUAGUUUCUCAUCGUUUGAUUCUUAGUACCUGUAACUGCUUCGGUGAUAUAAAUAUCAGGUAUUGGUGAUUAAAUUCGAUUUGCUUCUGCUAGCCCUCAUAGAAUGUUUACUGGAGACAUUGAACUGGUGUGAUUCACUCAAUUGAAUAUUAUGCCUUUUUUGCCCUUUUCAUUUAUAAAAAAAAAAAAAUUAUGAAAUUGAUAACUGUACUACCCACAGCUUUUCCAAUUGAAUUUGUAAUAUCUAACUUGUAAUCCUUUGCUUUACUUUCUCAUCUAUAUCUUUGUAUGAUUAUUUCCGCUUUCCAUUUGAAAAAAAGGAAAAUGGUGAGAAGUUUUUUCUUUUUUCUUUUUUGGGGAGGAUGAGGUUAUAAAUUUGUAGAUUUGAUAUUGAUAGUGAGAGGUUGCUGUUAUUGUGAGAAAGGAUUUCCUAUUUUUAUUUUGUACUUUUGAUUUUGAUACAGAAAAUGUCAUUAGUUUCCUAUGAUUUUACAGUUUAGGUGCUUGGAAAAUAUAUUGCGAGAAUGUGUUAAAAGGAGCUGAUCUUUUUUUGUGCCAAAGAUUUUAAGGCUGAAGUAAAUUGAUAUCAGUUGCUUUUUCAAUGAAACAAAAGUCGUUUAUUGGUAAAGUGAAACAUACAACAAGAAAUGCUAAAAUGAUUUUCAGUUUUACAGAAUAAAAAGCCAAAAAUAUGUAGUGUCCUUAAUAUGUAAUACAUUUUUUUAAGUGGGUACUGAUGAAAUGUUAAAAAAUGAGUAUAUAGGUCACAUUUGGUUUGCUUUGAAAAUGCAAAUGUAAUGCCCUAAAAUAUGAUUCCAUUUCUUGUUAAGGCCUGUACCUACAAACUUUAGAUCUUUGGUUCUUAGAUUGAGUGGUUUCUUAAUAUGAUAUCAAACCCUUCCAAACAAAAAGUUCCAGAGUCUAAAUCAUGGUCGCCUUCAUUUAUUAAUUAAAAAUUUCAGCACAAGGUAUGAUGUGCUUGUUCACACUUCAAGUGCAACGAGCAUUCGUGUAAGGCGUGCUGUGGGUGUUAGAGAUAUGGAGCCUUACCUAUAAGUUUGAAGUUUGAACUUUUAGGUUGAGUGGUUUUUUGACAAAGUUAAUCCAACAUACUGUUAGAUUGUACAAAUCAAAGUGGACAAGCUGGUCUUCUCUUAUUUAUAUUUUAAUCCGAUGUCACACACAAUUUCCAUAUGUUGUGCUUGCAAUUGCAAUUUUAAAUUUCGCAUUAGAGUUUAGUUUUUCUUCUUUUUCAUUUCUUCUGUUUUCAAUUUGCAUAAACUUUUAGAGGAUCAAGUUUCUCUUUCAAAUUUCCAGUUAGAUUUUCUCUGUCCUGGCAUUGGAAUUCCAUUUAAUUGGCUAUUUUUUUUUACGCAGUAUGAAAUUUUCACGUUGAUUGUAGCCUCACUCAUAUGGAUGCAGAUAUGCCUUUUUGAUGUGCAAAGUUGAAAAUCAUGAAUGCGUUCAAGGCCCAAGUCCCAAUUGCAUGGAGUCCUAACUUAUACAUAACCUUGGUGAGGGGCAUUCCAGGAACUAGGAGACUUCACAGACGUACCUUAGAGGCAUUGCGUCUUCGCAAAUGCAACCGUACCGUCAUGCGAUGGAAUACUCCCACUGUUAGGGGAAUGCUUCAACAGGUAAAGAGAUUAGUUGUGAUUGAGACAGAAGAGAUGUACAAGGCCCGCAAACAAAAUGAAGCAAACCAUCAAGCUCUACGUGCCCCAUUGGUUGUGAACCACUCACCUGCGUACACAAGCAAUUCUCCCUAGAGCAUGCAUCUGUUUUAUAUUUUUCUUUAGAGGUCAGCUUCUGUUUCUUUAGUGUUCUACUGUUGCUUAUGUGAUUUUUUUUUUCUUUUUUUGUAGUGUAUUUUCUGAAGUACAGCUGAUUUAAUGAACUGAAUUCUAAAAGUUUUGUUUAGUGCACAUAAAGGAUACCAUUCUAUAUGAACUUUUUGGUGUGGUCAUUCCAAAUAUAUUUUGGAAGUUCUCAAGUAGCAAUAUUAGAAUCGUAAUAGACAAUUUGUACUGGUAUUGAGAAUUCUGUUUUGAUAAACGAUUGGUAUUUGGAUAUACAGGUCUGAAAAUUGCUUCUUU
rnacentral:misc_RNA from 1 species